rnacentral:rRNA from 1 species
CCUGUCACUUCCCGAUUGGUCCGCGGCCUAUCAGCUAGUUGCGGGGUAAAAGCCCACCAAGGCUACGACGGGUAGCUGGUCUUAGAGGACGACCAGCCACACUGGAACUGAGACACGGUCCAGACACCUACGGGUGGCAGCAGUCGAGAAUCUUUCACAAUGGGGGCAACCCUGAUGGAGCGACGCCGCGUGGAGGAUAAGGUCUUCGGAUUGUAAACUCCUGUCAUGCGCGAACAAGGUUGCAGAGUUAAUAACUUUGCAAAUUGAUGGUACCGCAAGAGGAAGAGACGGCUAACUCUGUGCCAGCAGCCGCGGUAAUACAGAGGUCUCAAGCGUUGUUCGGAAUCACUGGGCGUAAAGGGUGCGUAGGUGGCGUGGUAAGUCAGAUGUGAAAAGCCCCGGGGCUCAACCCCGGAAUUGCAUCCGAUACUACCGUGCUAGAGUACUGAAGAGGAAACUAGAAUUCUCGGUGUAGCAGUGAAAUGCGUAGAUAUCGAGAGGAAUACCAAAGGCGAAGG